rnacentral:rRNA from 1 species
AACGAACGCUGGCGGCAUGCCUAACACAUGCAAGUCGAACGAGACCUUCGGGUCUAGUGGCGCACGGGUGCGUAACGCGUGGGAACCUGCCCUUAGGUUCGGAAUAACUCCCCGAAAGGGGUGCUAAUACCGGAUAAUGUCUUCGGACCAAAGAUUUAUCGCCUUUGGAUGGGCCCGCGUUGGAUUAGCUAGUUGGUAGGGUAAAAGCCUACCAAGGCGACGAUCCAUAGCUGGUCUGAGAGGAUGAUCAGCCACACUGGGACUGAGACACGGCCCAGACUCCUACGGGAGGCAGCAGUGGGGAAUAUUGGACAAUGGGCGAAAGCCUGAUCCAGCAAUGCCCCGUGAGUGAUGAAGGCCUUAGGGUUGUAAAGCUCUUUUACCCGGGAUGAUAAUGACAGUACCGGGAGAAUAAGCUCCGGCUAACUCCGU